AAAAAGAAACCUUCAUUAGUUAUGACAAUCCACCAAAGCAGGACCGGAGAAGACAAGAGAUGGUUUCUGUUGCUGUUCUUGUUGUUGUUGCUGCUGUUGUUUUUGUUUCUUGGAAGCAAAGGAUAAUAUUUCAUCUUCUUGUGCUGGAAGAUUGAGAUCCAAAUUCAAAGAAAGUAGUUUUCUUGCUUUCUUGGGUUCUUCAGAUUCUAUAGCUAUUGGUGUUAAUGACAAGGUUGUGCUAUUAUUUGCCCCUAUAGGUGCCCGGUGCCGUCUCAUAUGGCCGCCUAAAGCUUGACCGGAGGUGAACUCGGCACCACAAAUGGAACACUCAUGAAUCUUGGCCUUGUUUUGACCGCUGCUGCUAUAUAUAACUCUAUUGUUAUUAUUAUGACUCAAUUGAAGAGAAAGAGAAGAAAUAUCUCUAAAGUGUCCAUCUUCAUUGGAUGAUACUGCAAACUGCUUCUUCUCAUCAUUCUUAGGCUUCUUAUGACUAGCCCUAUGUCCACCCAAUGCUUGGAAAGAUGGGAACGUCCGGUUACAAGUCUUGCACUCAUAUACAUAGUAUCCGGCCUUGCUGGAACCUGGAGACCCUGUUUCUAAGAAUCUUCUACUAUUGAAUU
rnacentral:misc_RNA from 1 species